GAUGAACGCUGGCGGCGUGCCUAAUACAUGCAAGUCGAGCGAACAGACGAGGAGCUUGCUCCUCUGACGUUAGCGGCGGACGGGUGAGUAACACGUGGAUAACCUACCUAUAAGACUGGGAUAACUUCGGGAAACCGGAGCUAAUACCGGAUAAUAUAUUGAACCGCAUGGUUCAAUAGUGAAAGACGGUUUUGCUGCCACUUAUAGAUGGAUCCGCGCCGCAUUAGCUAGUUGGUAAGGUAACGGCUUACCAAGGCAACGAUGCGUAGCCGACCUGAGAGGGUGAUCGGCCACACUGGAACUGAGACACGGUCCAGACUCCUACGGGAGGCAGCAGUAGGGAAUCUUCCGCAGUGGGCGAAAGCCUGACGGAGCAACGCCGCGUGAGUGAUGAAGGUCUUCGGAUCGUAAAACUCUGUUAUUAGGGAAGAACAAAUGUGUAAGUAACUAUGCACGUCUGGACGGUACCUAAUCAGAAAGCCACGGCUAACUACGU
rnacentral:rRNA from 1 species